GUUGGUGACAAGAGCGGUGGGGGUACACCCGGAUCCAUCUCGAACCCGGCAGUUAAGCCCACCAGCGUCGAUGGUAGUGCAUGGGUAACUGUGUGCGAGAGUAGACCGUCGCCAACA
rnacentral:rRNA from 1 species